rnacentral:rRNA from 1 species
CGGGGUUCGAUUAAGCCAUGCGAGUUAAAUGUUCUUCGUGAACAUAGCGAACUGCUCAGUAACACGUGGAUAACCUACCCUUGGGACCGGAAUAACCCCGGGAAACUGGGGAUAAUACCGGAUAAGCCAUAGACGCUGGAAUGCCCUAUGGUUCAAAGCUCCGGCGCCUAAGGAUGGAUCUGCGGUCUAUCAGGUUGUAGUGGGUGUAACGUACCUACUAGCCGACGACGGAUACGGGUUGUGAGAGCAAGAGCCCGGAGAUGGAUUCUGAGACACGAAUCCAGGCCCUACGGGGUGCAGCAGGCGCGAACACUUUACAAUGCGGGAAACCGCGAUAAGGGAACCCCGAGUGCCAGCAUCAAAUGUUGGCUGUCCAGAUGAUUAAAAAUCAUUUGUUAGCAAGGGCCGGGCAAGACCGGUGCCAGCCGCCGCGGUAACACCGGCGGCCCGAGUGGUAGCCGUUUUUAUUGGGUCUAAAGGGUCCGUAGCCGGCCUGAUAAGUCCUUUGGGAAAUCUGGCAGCUUAACUGUCAGGCUUCUAAGGGAUACUGUCAGGCUUGGGACCGGAAGAGGUAAGGGGUACUCCAGGGGUAGGAGUGAAAUCUUGUAAUCCCUGGGGGACCAUCUGUGGCGAAGGCGCCUUACCAGAACGGGUCCGACGGUGAGGGACGAAAGCUAGGGGAGCAAACCGGAUUAGAUACCCGGGUAGUCCUAGCUGUAAACGAUGCUCGCUAGGUGUCAGACACGGUGCGACCGUGUUUGGUGCCGCAGGGAAGCCGUUAAGCGAGCCACCUGGGAAGUACGGUCGCAAGGCUGAAACUUAAAGGAAUUGGCGGGGGAGCACUACAACGGGUGGAGCCUGCGGUUUAAUUGGAUUCACCGCCGGG